rnacentral:lncRNA from 1 species
AUUUGAUCCUCUGAAGCCUCUUAAAUGAUUUAGCUACAUAAGUUGUAGAAAGAUUCAACUGUUCUGAAGAAUUGUACUGGACUUUGUUAGUAACUUCUAACUCAUUAUCAAAACCAAUGAAUAAUAGAAUUUUAGAGCUGGAGAUGAACUGUUACAGUAAUCUAGUCCUAUUCUCUUAACAAUGGAAAAUUGUGAAAAUGUAUUUUAAAGUAGUUAAAUUACUAGCUCAAAGUUUCACAUCUAGCUAUAGUAGAUUCAUUCAGCGGCCAAACUAGUAACCUUUCCACUAAAAUUCAAGUUAUAAAUUUACACAAACUAGUCAAUAUUCAUGUUCAAUGUAUAAAUAGUUCUUGUUUGCUUAAGUCAUUUGUUAGUUCUAGGAAAUAAUCCUAAAAUGACUAGCUUGAUAUUUCACACCCAGCUAGAUGAUAUUACAUCACUAUAAAUAGAGACUUCUACAAUUAGGCCACUGCAAUUAAAUUAUUACAAUUAUGAAAUAUUAGCAAAAAUUUCAAUCUGUUUCCAUUCAUACAUUAUGUAGUUCUUACAUAUAUGAAUCAUUUGUAUUAUGGACUUGGUUUUUGUAGAAAUUAGUUGUCUAAUAAUUAAUUCUAAAAUACCAGAAUCAGACUAUGUGUGUACAGUUGAAAGCAAAAAAUAAAAAUAAAAUUAUGCUUAAUAAAAGUUAUCUAAGUAGAGAAUCAGAGCUUACUUCGGAACACCAUGAAGAAUAACACAAAUGUCUGGCCAUUUCUUUGUACGUAACCAGCAAGAAGAAUCAUCCACUCAAACAAGGCUAUGUGACAUGCCAUAGAGGUUUAAUGAGGCCAGCAUGUUUCCUGAAAACUUGUCUUGCAAAAGGUUUCCCUGUUUACAGUAUUUCUCUGCAUACUAAGGUAUUGCUCUGGCACAUUCAAAAGUGAACAAAGAGCUAGUUGUUAAUACAAAAAAAGCACCCCCCCUUUCCCAUGUUAUCUGAUACCUCGUGGCUAUAAGUGAUCUAAAGAUGUCUGGGUGCUGAAGCAAAUAAAUGGAAAGAAGCUGUUCUGACAUUUGUACUCAGACUUUUGAGUGGAAAGUUAAAUAAGUUCUGCUUCUUACAGCUUCUUAUAGAUAAGGAUCUGUAGUGGGCUCAUUUUCCCUUGGCCACUUUCCCACAUCCUAAUCCAGAUUUUGCUGUCAGGUAUAGUUACGCAUUUCCUUGACUCCUGAGACCAGCACUUGGGUGGGAUCUCUUCAUGGAUUUUAGAUACUGAAUCAUUUUUGUUGUUGUUGUAUGUAAAUGGGACCUGUGGAGAAUGAUGGUAAUCCUGGAGCUGCUUGGACUGAAAUAAGAAAGAGGCCAGCUCUUAAAAGCACUCAAGUGGCACAAAAGAAGAACAUAUGGGUAAGUGGUCUACAAAGGUGGUCAGCAAUAAUUUCUCCCAUCCUUGUUCAUUCAUGCAUGCCGUGACUUCUAUCAAGUAGUGAGGUAUAUGGCCCCAUUCCUUGAACUGAGGCUGGCUGUGUGAUUUACUUCAGUCAAAUAGAAUGGGCAGAAAGAAUGUUCUGGGACUUCUGAGCCCAGAACUUGAGAGCCCUUGGACAGUCCCCUUUUGCUGUCUUGAAACCCAUCUGCCAUUUGCAGAAGUCUGGCUCCCUAAAGGCUGAGACUCUAAAGCGGGGAGCGGGGCAUGGGGGGAGGGGGAAGAGAGACCAAGACUGUCCCAGUUACUUCAGCCAUCUCAAGUGAGGCCACAGACACAUCAGUGAAGCCAUCUUAGACUUGCUAGCAUAUUCCAGGUUCAGCUGAAGAACUUCCCAGAUGAACCCAGCCAACUUUAGGAAUCAUGAGAGGUAACAAAUCAUGGCUGUUUGAAGCUGCUAAAUUUGGG